UACGGGGGGGGGCAAGCGUUGUUCGGAAUUACUGGGCGUAAAGGGCUCGUAGGCGGCCAACUAAGUCAGACGUGAAAUCCCUCAGCUUUAACUGAGGAACUGCGUCUGAUACUGGAUGGCUUGGAUUUUGGGAGAGGGAUGCGGAAUUCCAGGUGUAGCGGUGAAAAUGCGUAGAUAUCUGGAGGAACACCGGUGGCGAAGGCGGCAUCCUGGACCAAUAUUGACGCUGAGGAGCGAAAAGCUAGGGGGAGCAAAACGGGG
rnacentral:rRNA from 1 species